UUAUCCAGCUCCCUCCUUCCCCUCCUCUGCUCCCCUCCGCACGCCGAUCCGCGAAUCCUCCCCGGAGCCGCCGCCAUGCCCCCUCACGCCGAAUUGCCGUGCGCUCCAAUUUUGCCUCGCCUGGUGCACCCCCGCCGGAAUCAGAUUUUGCCGUGCCCGGCCCUUGAGCGUUCCCCCGGCGCCUACCUUGCCGGGGCUGAUGAUCCAUAAAGCUGCGAUUUUUACACAUGGAUGAUUCGGAUGGCAGGCAUAGGGAAUUGACGGCUGAUGCGAGCAUGAAUGAAUCGCAAAAGAACAUGAAUGAAUCGUACGGAGUAGCCAUGCCAUAUUGGUUAUUGCAUAUUUCUGAAGACGUGUGGUUGAUUUCCCUGGGGGUUUUCUGUCUGUCACCCUAGAUGAAGCCAGGAGGGCAUCUAACUGACGGGCUCUGCGUGGAACGGUGAAGUAGGGGCUGUGGCUGUGCAAGCAGCUCUGAGAAGCAAAUCUAUAAUGAAGAUCCUGCACAGGGAAUGAGUUGUCAUUUAGUACCAAGACUGGUUGGUUUACCCUCUGAAGCAUCGAUACGUCUAAGAACUGCCGUUUCCCCCUUCAGGACAUGGCUCCUACGGUGACACGCAGGAUACGGCAGCGAUAUGCGUAUCUUAGGGGGUAUCACGUUUUUUGAUUUAAAGAAAAAAAAAACGAUUAGCCACUUGGGACCUGUCAACACACCAGGAGACGUAAUGGGGGAGCGCAGCCCAAGCCUAAUAGAAGCCCGCUUCUAACCUGCGUGUUCUCUCUCUAUUCGCUCUAUUGACCAGACCAGGGCAGCGAAUUGGAAUGAGGGCACCUCGAGUCACCUUCGGCAAGGGAGCGAGUCAAGUGACAUAUUGACGUAUGGACAUUCAAUUACGGGGAUUGAGGAAAUUAACGAUCAUUCGACUUGAAAAGAGGCAUGAGGGCAACAAAAGUUGCAGUAUUUUGAUCCCAUUUCAUUUCAAGCAUACAUCUUUCUAGACUCUGUACAGGUGUUGGACAUGCAAAUGGCAACAUCGUGUUUAUGUCAAAUAAACAUUUGAGUUGGACUCCAGCUUUUUGUCUCCAAACAAACCGUUGCAGCCAGCACUAAAAUAUCACCAAAUAGGAAUCACAGAAGAACAAGACAUGAACAUCAAGUAGGAGGUUCAUGAAGAAAGCUCUUUGGCACCCCAGACCGCACAUCCAACUGAAUCUUGAGACCUGUUGAUUUCCUGACAGGAUCUUUCAGAGAAAAGACUGUUUAGCACACACUGUGUGUUUCUGAUAUUUGUUAUAUUCCGUUUACUACCCAGAGAUCCAAAAAAUCAACUCUACUGGGUUAAACUGAAGGAGAAAAAAAUGUUCUGGACACCCUAAAUUUGUUCUACUUUUUA